rnacentral:rRNA from 1 species
AGUGAACGCUGGCGGUAGGCCUAACACAUGCAAGUCGAACGGCAGCACAGUAAGAGCUUGCUCUUACGGGUGGCGAGUGGCGGACGGGUGAGGAAUACAUCGGAAUCUACUUUUUCGUGGGGGAUAACGUAGGGAAACUUACGCUAAUACCGCAUACGACCUACGGGUGAAAGCAGGGGAUCUUCGGACCUUGCGCGAGUGAAUGAGCCGAUGUCGGAUUAGCUAGUUGGCGGGGUAGAGGCCCACCAAGGCGACGAUCCGUAGCUGGUCUGAGAGGAUGAUCAGCCACACUGGAACUGAGACACGGUCCAGACUCCUACGGGAGGCAGCAGUGGGGAAUAUUGGACAAUGGGCGCAAGCCUGAUCCAGCCAGACCGCGUGGGUGAAGAAGGCCUUCGGGUUGUAAAGCCCUUUUGUUGGGAAAGAAAAGCAGCAGGUUAAUACCCCGCUGUUCUGACGGUACCCAAAGAAUAAGCACCGGCUAACUUCGUG